rnacentral:rRNA from 1 species
AGCUCCAAUAGCGUAUAUUAAAGUUGCUGCGGUUAAACAGCUCGUAGUUGGAUUUCUGUUGAGGACGACCGGUCCGCCCUCUGGGUGAGCAUCUGGCUUUGCCUUGGCAUCACCUUGGGAACCGCUACUGCACUUGAUUGUGUGGUGUGACACCCAAGUAUUUUACUUUGAGGAAAUCAGAGUGCUUCCAGCAGGCAUGUGCCUUGCAUACACUAGCAUGGAAUAAUGUGACAAGACUUUGGUUUUAGCUUGUUGGUGUUUAGAAUUGAAGUAAUGAUUGAUAGGGAUAGUUGGGGGCAUUUGUAUUUAAUUGUCAGAGGUGAAAUUCUUGGAUUUGUUAAGGACACACGAUUGCGAAAGCAUUUGCCAAGGAUGUUUUCU